rnacentral:rRNA from 1 species
AAGGGCACCACAAGAACGCGUGGAGCAUGUGGCUUAAUUUGACUCAACGCGGGAAAUCUUACCGGGUCCGGACACACUGAGGAUUGACAGGUAACAUCUCGGCGUAUGUUCGCAUACGUCGAGUAUAAAUAUGCUAGUCCUUUCAUGAUUAUGUGAUAGGUGGUGCAUGGCCGUUCUUAGUUCGUGGAGUGAUCUGUCUGCUUAAUUGCGUAUCACUAUUGGAUCCAUCAUACAUGCAUUCGUUGCGGCAUUGACCCCGUGGAUAUUCACUUAUUCAUGCGCGCGUCUUUCGCUUAGCUCGUUGCAUAUUGGAUCCUGAUAGCAACGAACGUGACCGCAACCUCUUGUUGCUUUCAUACCCAAGCGCUGCAUAUAUAUUUAUUUAUAUAUGCUUCGCUAAGAAAGCUUACACUAUACAAACUAGAGGGACCGCUGUUACUUUCUUAAACCAGAGGAAGGUUGCGGCAAUAACAGGUCUGUGAUGCCCUUAGAUGUUCCGGGCUGCACACGUGCUACAAUGAUUAUUGCAGUGAGCAUCUCAUUUUUCUACUACAUCGCAUGCGCGAGUCUAUUUAUUCAUGUUCGCAUGUUUAAAUACGGUCUCUGCGCGCGAUAAAGCCUACUUCGAAAGUAAGCGGGUAAUCAAUUAGAAGUAAUGAUUUCCUACUCUUAGCAGUACUUGCACACAUAUAUGCGGCGUAUUUACCCGGCCAACCUUGUUGUUGGUUUUUGUGCGUAGAUAUGUUCUUUUCCGCAUGUGCAAUUGUCAAUUCAUGGUGGGGACAGACCAUUGUUUCAAUUGUUGGUCUCGGUCUUAACUAGGAAUGCCUUGUACGGGUCUUUGGUUCAACAAACCACCCGGAAUACGUCCCUGCCCUUUGUACACACCGCCCGUCGCUCUUACCGAUGGACUUCUCUGUGAGUUUGAGGGACUGCUCGCGGCUGAUAUGUAUUUCGAUACACAUCCCGCCUUAGGAAACUUAAACGAACAGUGUGGUCUAAAGGAAAGAGAAGUCGUAACAAGGCAUCAGUAGGUGAACUGCAGAAGGAUCA